CAAUGAUCAACAGGGAUCAAAAAAACAAAUAAACUAAACCUCAAAACAGUUCGAUUUGACGCGGACUGAAAUGGGUGUCCGCACAAAUUUUAGGGAUAAUUUGAAAGCAUUCAAAGAAAAGAAAACAAGGCUUAAUUGGAUGCAGGGGCAAAGGAAAGGGACUGGUUCCGAAAAUGGACCAUUAGGGGGAAAAAGGUGCGGAUCUCGGCCAUUUAAACUGCAGUACAAAUUUUCAAUUUGUGGGCAAAAUUCCCUUUUGCCAUUCAGCUCCCUUUUUUAAAAAGAAAAGCUCCCCUAUCCUUCUGCUAGGGUUUCUGCUCUGGGGAGCUGCAUAGGAGGGUCAUCGGCGCCUCAACGCCUCCACCUCCGGCCCCGAACCACGAGGUAUAUCAGAUGCGUGGUGGGUGUGGACUCUGACGUGGAGGUGGAAUGGCACACGACUCGGAGGAGACUCGCGACGUGCGGGAAGGAGCUCUGUUGGUUACGGCGCAAGGGCAGUCUACUUAGGGUUUGGCUGAAAAUUGUUUGAGCUUUUGGGCUUGGGGUUUUGGGUUAGUUUGGGUUUCAAUUUUGUAUUGGGUUUGGGUUUUGUUUAUGGUUGGGCCCAUGUAAUGUUUGAAUUGGUAAACAAAGUGGACUUAUUUAUUCUGAUUUCUGUUUAUGGUCCCGGGCUGAAUUGGGCCAUAACACAUAUGAAAUUAAAAUAUUUGAUCAUUAAAGAAGAAGUUCAGAAACAAUAA